CCGGAGGACCGAGUGCCGCUCAC
rnacentral:siRNA from 1 species